UCUCACCUGGAGAAAUGCAACUCCAAGCGUUCAACAGGUGCGAGAAACCGACUGAUGUCAGUCUCCCCCCAGAGGGCACUCGGGAGAAUUUUACUCACUGCCCUGAGAUUCAGGCCAACAGAGUCAAAGAAUCUACCCAAUCUGGGUAAGGUGCAAGCAUGGACCCGGAGGGCUUGGCCAGCCUCACCUGCAGGUAUACAGGCAAAUUCAACUCCCAACCCCACCCGCCUUUGUAAAGCCUCCGUAUGAGUUUCCUGGGGUGGCCGUAACAAAGCACCCUGGGCCAGUGGGGUGCCCACAUGCCUUUUAUGUCACCCUGACAGAAGCUGGGAGUCUAAGAUCAAGGUGUGGGCAGGUCGGUUUCUUCCUGGCUUGUAGAUGGCUGCCUUCUCGCUGUGUCCGUGUGGACUUUCCUCUGGGCACGCGUGGAAAGAGAUCCACCUCCAGUGUCCCUGCCUCCCCUGAGGAUUGUAUUUCACCCUAAUUACCUCCCAUGGGGCCCCAUCCCCAAAUACAGGGGGUGAGGGCUUCAACAUGGGAAUUUGGGGGGGCACAGCUCAAUCUGUGACUCCCUCCUUUUCUUCCUCCACUCUCCGUAUGAUGUAGGUUUCUUUCUUUCUUCCUGUUUUAAUUUGAGAGAGAGAGAGAGAGUGCACAAGCAGGGGGAGGGACAGAGGGAGAGGGAGAAGCAAACUCCCCGCUGAGCAGGGAGCCCGAUGUGGGACUCGAUCCCAGGACCCUGAGAUCAUGACCGGAACUGAAGGGAGAUGCUUCAACAACUGAGCCCCCCAGGAGCCCCAUUAUAUAGGUUUCAUUGGAAAGUUCCCAUUUUCUAAUUCCUAUUGGAGGAGCUUGACCUGGCUCUCAUGAUUUCUCUGACUGUCACGGUGACAUUUGAACUUUUCCUCUGCCCUCUGUAUGCCUUGGCCACUAAAUGGAGGGAGGUGGAGCAGGGGGCCGUCCGGGCAGCAGGCUGGCAUUAGCGUGCUGGGAAGAGGUGAGUUGACCUUGGUGCAGGGGAAUCUGGGAGGCUGGCAGGAUUGGAGGACCCCUGCUUGCAAAUUUUGGUUUCAGAGUAGCCACCUCUGAGAACGCCUUCGUGCUAGGGGCUGUGUCGCGGUGUUCCCUUCACGACCCGUGAGGCCGUGGCUGGCCAGCAUCACACAGCUAAGGACCCCCAGGCCAGACCUGGAGUGCCUGCCUGGCUGAUUCCUGCACCAGAAUUCUCCUUGGAGAUCCAGCUACUGCCUGGAGCCCCCAUCCUUUUAACGGAAUCAAAACGAGUUUGCUCCUUGCUGAGUCUGAAACUGCACCAGGUGAAUUUGUCGCAUAAAGAAAACUUUUAUUUUCGGCAAAUAAGGAGACCCCGGGGAAUGGCUUCCAAAGCCCUGGACGUCCCAGGUGAGGGUGGAUGGGUUCCUUUUGUUUGGGGUUAGGAUGAGUAUUUGUUUAUUUACUUAUUUAUUUAUAAGAUUUUCUUUAUUUAUUUGAGAGAGAGAGACAGAGAUACAAGAGAGAGUACGAGCAGGGGCGGAGGGAGAAGCAGACUCCCCGCUGAGCAGGGAGCCUGAUGCGGGGCUCGAUCCCAGGACUCUGGGAUCAUGAAAGAGCUGAAUGCAGACACUUCACCGACUGAGCCCCAGGCGCCCCAGGAUGAAUAUUUCAGUAGGGGAUCCUUGUCAUCCUAGGUAGAGGCUGGCAUACAGCCGUGCAUGGCCUGGAGGAAGCAUGCCUGGAUGUACAUUGUGUGUUGGUAAAUGAGGCUUGUGCUCUCCCUGGGGGGAGAUUUUAGUAUUAUAAUGAGGCGAAGGUGAUUGUAGGUCUUUCCAGAGGUGACCCCAGGGUCCAUCUGUGCAGGUGCAAGUCAGGUUGGGCUCAAAGGGUCUGGGUGGUCUGGAUGGUCCAGAACGAGGGGG
ensembl:lncRNA